rnacentral:rRNA from 1 species
AGAUUGAACGCUGGCGGCAUGCCUAACACAUGCAAGUCGAACGGGAGUAGCAAUACUCUAGUGGCGGACGGGUGAGGAAUACGUAGGAAUUUGCCCUUAAGUGGGGGAUAACCCGGGGAAACCCGGAUUAAUACCGCAUGACCUCGAAAGAGCAAAGUGGGGGAUCGCAAGACCUCACGCUUUUGGAGAAGCCUACGUCGGAUUAGCUAGUUGGUGAGGUAAUGGCUCACCAAGGCGACGAUCCGUAACUGGUCUGAGAGGAUGAUCAGUCACACCGGAACUGAGACACGGUCCGGACUCCUACGGGAGGCAGCAGUGGGGGAAUAUUGGACAAUGGGCGCAAGCCUGAUCCAGCAAUGCCGCGUGUGUGAAGAAGGCCUUCGGUUGUAAAGCACUUUAAGUUGGGAAGAAAAACUACGACGUCUAACACAGUAGAGUACUUGACGGUACCGACAGAAUAAGCAACCGCUAACUCUGUGCCAGCAGACCGC